rnacentral:rRNA from 1 species
GACGAACGCUGGCGGCGUGCUUAACACAUGCAAGUCGAACGGAAAGGCUCCAGCUUGCUGGAGUACUCGAGUGGCGAACGGGUGAGUAACACGUGGGUAAUCUGCCCUGCACUCUGGGAUAAGCCUGGGAAACUGGGGCUAAUACUGGAUAUGACCUUUCUCCGUAUGGGGUGUGGUGGAAAGUUUUUCGGUGUAGGAUGAGCCCGCGGCCUAUCAGCUUGUUGGUGGGGUGAUGGCCUACCAAGGCGACGACGGGUAGCCGGCCUGAGAGGGUGAUCGGCCACAUUGGGACUGAGAUACGGCCCAGACUCCUACGGGAGGCAGCAGUGGGGAAUAUUGCACAAUGGGCGGAAGCCUGAUGCAGCGACGCCGCGUGAGGGAUGACGGCCUUCGGGUUGUAAACCGCUUUCAGCAGGGACGAAGCGUAAGUGACGGUACCUGCAGAAGAAGCACCGGCUAACUACGUG